CGUACACUCCUGCGGGAGGCAGCAGUGGGGAAUAUUGGACAAUGGGCGCAAGCCUGAUCCAGCCAUGCCGCGUGAGUGAUGAAGGCCCUAGGGUUGUAAAGCUCUUUCACCGGUGAAGAUAAUGACGGUAACCGGAGAAGAAGCCCCGGCUAACUUCGUGCCAGCAGCCGCGGUAAUACGAAGGGGGCUAGCGUUGUUCGGAUUUACUGGGCGUAAAGCGCACGUAGGCGGACUAUUAAGUCAGGGGUGAAAUCCCGGGGCUCAACCCCGGAACUGCCUUUGAUACUGGUAGUCUUGAGUUCGAGAGAGGUGAGUGGAAUUCCGAGUGUAGAGGUGAAAUUCGUAGAUAUUCGGAGGAACACCAGUGGCGAAGGCGGCUCACUGGCUCGAUACUGACGCUGAGGUGCGAAAGCGUGGGGAGCAAACAGGAUUAGAUACCCUUGUAGUCCCAUG
rnacentral:rRNA from 1 species